GACGAACCGAGCGAACGUUAUUCGGAAUCACUUGGGCUUAAAGGGCGCGUAGGCGGAUCGAAAAGUCAGGGGUGAAAUCCCACGGCUUAACCGUGGAAGUGCCUUUGAUACUGUCGAUCUCGAGGGAGGUAGGGGCGUGCGGAACUUCCGGUGGAGCGGUGAAAUGCGUAGAUAUCGGAAGGAACACCGGUGGCGAAAGCGGCGCGCUGGACCUCUUCUGACGCUGAGGCGCGAAAGCCAGGGGAGCAAACGGG
rnacentral:rRNA from 1 species